GAUGAACGCUGGCGGCGUGCCUAAUACAUGCAAGUCGAGCGAACAGACGAGGAGCUUGCUCCUCUGACGUUAGCGGCGGACGGGUGAGUAACACGUGGAUAACCUACCUAUAAGACUGGGAUAACUUCGGGAAACCGGAGCUAAUACCGGAUAAUAUAUUGCACCGCAUGGUUCAAUAGUGAAAGACGGUUUUGCUGUCACUUAUAGAUGGAUCCGCGCCGCAUUAGCUAGUUGGUAAGGUAACGGCUUACCAAGGCAACGAUGCGUAGCCGACCUGAGAGGGUGGUCGCCCACACUGGAACUGAGACACGGUCCAGACUCCUACGGGAGGCAGCAGUAGGGAAUCUUCCGCAAUGGGCGAAAGCGUGACGGAGCAACGCCGCGUGAGUGAUGAAGGUCUUCGGAUCGUAAAACUCUGUUAUUAGUGAAGAACAAAUGUGUAAGUAACUAUGCACGUCUUGACGGUACCUAAUCAGAAAGCCACGGCUAACUACGUG
rnacentral:rRNA from 1 species